CAGAAAGUGAAACCAUCCCCCAGGAGGGCUGGGAAUCCAUUUAGAGUGAGGGACACAGCUGGAGUCACUGAGUCAUGGUCUCUGGGCGCGGCCCCCAUUUAUAACCUCUCCCUUAACUUUGUUUAUCUCUGAAGAAACACACAGAUGCAUCGCACUUUCCAGAAGUUGGAGCCCUGUGAUCAUCACUUGUCAUCAGAAGAAAUGAGAUUAGACAGAUAGAGGAGCACAAAGAAUCACAUGCUCAGCCAGCCUUUAUGACACGGGGCCUACCUGUCGGGAAAUGAUAAGAACUCCAGAAGCCUCCACCUGUGCUUUGCUGGAUGUUCCCAAGAAGUACACACCGAGUGGCUCACACUGAAUGCAUUUCUUCAAGGCUCUCCAGGCUAGAAGUGGAUUCGGUUAUUUCUGAGCUGUGAGGGAGGGGCCAGCUGUGGACCUCUCUCUCGGAAGAGGAUGCUCUUCCCGUGCUAUCACUCUCGAGAUCUUUUCAUCUGUUGUAGAAUAUUUCUUUUAAAAAAUUGUAUUAUUUGAGAAUUGCAUACAAUGUAUUUUGAUGAUA